rfam:Methyloprofundus sedimenti strain WF1 Contig001, whole genome shotgun sequence.
AAAGUCCCGCUCUGGCAAGGUAGGUCAACCACCAGUUAGUAAACAUCGGGCAGGCGGAGGUAACUCCAAAUGUUAAGUACGAUGGGCGCAAGUUGAAGUGAUUUAGCCUCGAAAUUAUUUUUUAUUUAAGCAGGACGACAGAGUAUCCCUUCUGGAAGUCCCCAUUGUAUAACGCGCAUGACAAGUAUCAUAGGGCUGCUUCGAGGGCUACAGUU